rnacentral:misc_RNA from 1 species
UGGGACUACACGGGUAUCUAAUCCUGUUUGCUCCCCACGCCUUCGAGCCUCAACGUCAGUCGCAGUCCAGUGGGCCGCCUUCGCCGCUGGUGCUCCUCCUAAUAUCUACGCAUUUCACCGCUACACUAGGAAUUCCGCCCACCCCUCCUGCACUCUAGCACCACAGUUUCCAGAGCAGUCCCGGGGUUGGGCCCCGGGCUUUCACUCCAGACUUGCCUUGCCGUCUACGCUCCCUUUACACCCAGUAAAUCCGGAUAACGCUUGCCCCCUACGUAUUACCGCGGCUGCUGGCAC